UGACCGCUGGCGGCGUGCCUAAUACAUGCAAGUCGAGCGAACGGACGAGAAGCUUGCUUCUCUGAUGUUAGCGGCGGACGGGUGAGUAACACGUGGAUAACCUACCUAUAAGACUGGGAUAACUUCGGGAAACCGGAGCUAAUACCGGAUAAUAUUUUGAACCGCAUGGUUCAAAAGUGAAAGACGGUCUUGCUGUCACUUAUAGAUGGAUCCGCGCUGCAUUAGCUAGUUGGUAAGGUAACGGCUUACCAAGGCAACGAUGCAUAGCCGACCUGAGAGGGUGAUCGGCCACACUGGAACUGAGACACGGUCCAGACUCCUACGGGAGGCAGCAGUAGGGAAUCUUCCGCAAUGGGCGAAAGCCUGACGGAGCAACGCCGCGUGAGUGAUGAAGGUCUUCGGAUCGUAAAACUCUGUUAUUGGGGAAGAACAUAUGUGUAAGUAACUGUGCACAUCUUGACGGUACCUAAUCAGAAAGCCACGGCUAACUACGUG
rnacentral:rRNA from 1 species